rnacentral:rRNA from 1 species
CAGUCGCCGCGGUAAAACGAAGGGGGCUAGCGUUGUUCGGAUUAACUGGGCGUAAAGGGCGCGUAGGCGGGUUUUUAAGUCAGAGGUGAAAUCCCAAGGCUCAACCUUGGAACUGCCUUUGAUACUGGAAGUCUUGAGUCCGGGAGAGGUGAGUGGAACUGCGAGUGUAGAGGUGAAAUUCGUAGAUAUUCGCAAGAACACCAGUGGCGAAGGCGGCUCACUGGCCCGGUACUGACGCUGAGGCGCGAAAGCGUGGGGAGCAAACAGGAUUAGAUACCCCAGUAGUCCCUGUCUCUUAUAC